GUCCCGGCUGUAAACGAUGGACACUAAGUGGGGGAAGGUUUUCCUUUCUCUGCUGCAGCUAACGCGUUAAGUGUCCCGCCUGGGGAGUACGGCCGCAAGGUUAAAACUCAAAGGAAUUGACGGGGGCUCGCACAAGCGGUGGAGCAUGUGGUUCAAUUCGAUGCAACGCGAAGAACCUUACCUGGGCUUGAAGUGGAGGUGGUAGGAACCGGAAACGGUAACGACCCCGCAAGGGGAGCCUUCAUCAGGUGUUGCAUGGCUGUCGU
rnacentral:rRNA from 1 species